GCUGGGUGUGGUGGCUCACACCUGUAAUCCCAGCACUUUGGGAGGUCGAGGCAGGAGGAUCCCUUGGGCCCAGGAGUUCUAGACCAGCCUGGGCAAUAUAGGGAGACCCUGUCUAUA
rnacentral:SRP_RNA from 1 species